AGAGAAGCCCCCCUGGAACCAGUGAUACCCCACAUUGGUCUGAAGAAGAGUACUUGGUUGCCUCUCCUGGCAUCAUGGGGAAAUGUCCAGCCUACAGGACAUCUCACCCUACACAUUAUCUGCUUCUCUUCUCUGAUUUACUGUUUUUCUGUUUUUCUCUUCUUUUCUGCACUGACUUUGCCCACCUGUCAGUACAUCUGGGAUCUGGUGAAAGGACCACAGGAAAUUCUUGCAGCAAACUGAAGGUUUCUAUUUCAGAUCCUUCCACCACCAUUAUUCCCACAAUCAUGACCACCUCCACCACUAGCCCCGCCACCAUCACUUCCACCAGCACAUCACUAUUACCUUCAUCACUGCCUCUCAACAUCUCCAUCAGCACCUCCUCCAUCAUGAGCACCACCUCCGAGACCAUCAGCAAAGUAUACAUGUGAGCCUUGCUUUAGUCUCCCUAUGACGUCUAAAAUCUGAACUGUAAAAUGAACAAAUAAAGGAGGGAUUAUUUGCUUUUCUAAAUUAUUCAAUCUAUAGCAAACUUAAAUAGUUAAUUUUCCCUAGUGUUUUUUUUUACAUGUGUGGGGUUUUUUAAAAAAAAACAUUUUAAUUUGGAGUUCCCAUCGUGGCUCAGUGGUUAACGAAUCUGACUAGGAACCAUGAGGUUGCGAGUUCGGUCCCUGGCCUUGCUCAGUGGGUUAAGGAUCCAGCAUUGCCAUGAGCUGUGGUGUAGGUUGCAGACGCGGCUCUGAUCCCGAGUAGCUGUGGCUGUGGUGUAGGCUGGCGGCUACAGCUCCAAUUGGACCCCUAGCCUGGGAACCUCCACAUGCCUCAGAAGCGGCCCUAUAAAAGGCAAAAAGACAAAGAAAAUAAAUUAAAAAUAAAUAAAAUUUUAAAAAAGCAUUUUAAUUGCCUAGAUCUCUUUAAGAAUAUACCUGUUUUGAGAAGUAAGUCAUUCAUAUCAGAGACAGGAUAUUCAUGCUGAGAAAGAAGGGAAAGUAUAAUAGGUUUGUAAGUUCUCUUUAUUUGCUAAAUUAUUAAGAAGCGUUUUAUAGCAUGUACAAAUGUAUUAAACAUUAAGCAGUUUUAGCUACUUGGCCAUAAAUCAGUGACUGUAAAGGCAGAAGUCAAUUCUAUCAAUAGUAGUCCUACACAUAAGUCGUAUACUUAUGUAUAAAUAUAUAAUACUUAUAUGAACAUGUACGCUAUAUGUUUAUAUACUGAUAGUUUAUGUGUAUAUUUUAUAAUAUAUUUAUCAUGUUUGUAUAAAUAAAUAUAUAACAUAUAUAUGUGAUCGAUAUAUAUUAUUAUUAUAAAUAUCCUUCUCUAAUUGUGAAAUUUGGGUUACAGACUGAAGGAGGCUAUAAAAAUGUUUACAAAUUCCUCUCAUUCUUAUAUGCACCUCCCAUGUGACUUCACUCCUCUUCUUGUCAAGAAGGAGCGUCUAUGUCUCCUUGACUUAUCCUAUGCUUCUUGACUUUUGACUUGGGCUUGGCCGUGUGAAUUCUUUGGCUAACGAGAUAGUCUUAGCAAAUGUGAUGCAAGCCGAGGCUUGAAAAAUGCAUGCACUUUGGGGUUUGUCCUUUUGCUGAUCUGGGAACUGUGCUACCGAAGCCAUGUGAUCUAAUCCGGGCAGGCCUGCUGGAGGAUAACAGAUCGUGUGGCACAGAGAUAAGCGAGUCCAGUUUAGGCCCUGCUGCACCAGUCAGCUUGCCAAUCACAAGAUAUGUGAGAGACCACCCAGACCAUCCAACCCCGCUAAGCAGGCCAAAGCCAGAGCAGUCACCCAGCUGAAAGACCAGAGACCCAUGAGAAAUGAUAAAAGGUUUAUUCUUUUAAGUCACAAAGUUUGUGGUGUUUUGUUGCACAGCAAAAGCUAACUGACACAAGGACACACGUCUUACUAUCUUACUGAGUUUCGUUUUCCUCCGUUCCUUCUACCCACUCCAAAUAACUUGAGUAAAACAUUUGGUUUAUUGGAGACACAGUUGCCACAAACAUAUGAUCUUUCAUUUUCUUCCAAUUCUAAAAGCUCAUAUUCUCUCAUAUUAUGAAGCUUUCUUUCUCAGUUAUGAUUUUUACAGAAGAAAGGUGCUGGAGAAUAAAGGUAGUAAAAGUGGGACAUGAGGUUAAGAGGGAGAAGGGAGCUGGAGAUGUGAAAUAAGGUGCUGCCAAUGGAAUGCUGAGGCCAAAAAUAGAGGUUGGUACAGCUUAUUAAAUGUUGACUAACUUCCUGGGAGAAGUUUGCUCUGUUAAAUCAGAAUUGCUAUGAAACUCCCUGGCAUUGACCCAAGAUGUCCCUAUAUUAAAACUGCAAAACGUACGAUCUAGAAUUCCCUUAUGUUCCAUUCCUUAGUUCCUCUCAAUCUUUUUCACUAUCCUAAAUAUGGCUUUCUAUUUUCAUAGUUAGAAUUUUAUUUUAUUUUAUUUUAUUUUUUGGCUAUUACAGAAGCCCAAUGUGAUCGAAAAAAAUCCAGCUCAUCCUCAAGCUGCAGGCAAGGUUGAAUCCAGUUGCUCCAGUGAUGUCCUCAGAGAACUGUCCUUCCAUCUCUGUCUUUAGGUUCUGCCUUCCUAAGUUCUAGCCUCCCUGUAUCCCUCAAUCCCUGACCUAUUUUGUGGGUCCCACAGUUGAGUGGUGACAAUGGUUUAUUGGUGACCAAGCCCUCCUCCUGUUACUCCAAUUAUGUUAAAGGCACUAAGAUCCAUCCAAUUUCCCAAGUCAAAAACUUGGAACUUAUCCCAGACCUCUCCAUUAGCCUCCACAUCUAAUAGAUCAUAAAGCCGAGUCAUUUCCAUCCCAUCUGUGUCUUUGAAAUUAGUUUUCCCUCUCCAUGGCCAAUGCCGUUGUCUUUGUCAUGCAUUGUUAUUCCUGUCAUGGAAGAAGAACAUUUCUCCCUAACCAGUCUUUGCUUUACUUCCUGCAAGCCAUCCUCUCUGCCUGGAGUAAUCUAUGAAAAAUGUAAAUCUGAGUCCUCCUUAAAAUGUUUGGUUACUUGGGAGUUCCCAUUGUGGCUCAGUGGUUAACGACUCUGACUAGGAACCAUGAGGUUGUGGGUUCCAUCCCUGGCCUCGCUCAAUGGGUUAAGGAUCUGGCAUUGCCGUGAGCUGUAGUGUGGGUCGCAGACACAGCUCGGGUCUGGCGUUGCUGUGUAAGCCAGUGGCUACAGCUCCAUUCGACCCCUAGCCUGGGAACCUCCAUAUGCUGAGGGAGCAGCCCUAGAAAAGACAAAAAAAAAAAAAAGUUUGGUUACUUGUAUAAGCUGCUCCAUAAAUGGAGGGUACCAACGUGAUCCCAUCUGGUGAUUGUUCUAGUGGAUCACUUGAACCUCAGCUGCCCUGUUAGCAGAGAGCCUCCGUUUCUUAAGUUGAGUUCUCCAGAAACCAAGCCAGAGCUGGGGAUAUAUGUUGUUAUUUUAGGGGUUUCAUUGCUUCCUCGACACUGGGCUGUUGCUGACCUCACUCUCAUCCAUCCUGUUUGGCCCAAAUAUAAAUCUUUUCUUGGGAGACUGAGGAUUGGUGUCUUUCUUCCCAAGAUGCCAGGGGCUCUCAUGUAAAAUGCUGUGUACCUACUACCAAGCUCUGCCUACCUGGGAUCUCAGAAAGGGGCCUGGAUCCCAGUCACAAAGGAUUCUUUUAUGUCAGAGGUCAAACACUCAAAUACUUCCAGGAGGCAGAAGCCUGACAGACAGAGCAGCCACCACUCAGCAACAAUCAACUGCUACCAAGCAGAAUUUGGCACUCACAGGCCCCAUUUCUUUGGAGUUCUUUCAGGAGAAGCCCCAAAUCCUGAUUUUUAUGUGAAAUAUUCUGAUUUUAAACUGUUAGCCUGAUUUUUUAAAAGAGCAGGCAAAACAUAAUUUGUCUGGGACCUUAUCUGACCCAGGGGCUAUCAAUUUGUAAAUCCCAGAACAAUAAAUGACCACUUACCCCAUAUAUGCAUAACUAUGGGGCUUCUGCAAGGAGCUGGGACUGGACUACAGCUCAGCUGGGAACCCGCUACAAAAGGUUACAGGACUUCAAGACAGUUUAACCUCCUUUAGCCUGGCCAGUGCUGCCUCCCAGACCUGCCCUCCUCCUAGGCCUCUGGGCACACUGUCAUACCUUAGGCCCUCUGGCUUCAUUGGGCUGUCAGUUAUCCGCCUUCCUUCAAGAUUUGGCUCAAACACCCCCUUCCUCUGGUAGCCUUUCUUUCGCUGAUCUCUGCCUUCUUUCAGCUUACCCCAUGGUUUAGAGCAGUUACCCCACUGCCCUAAUGUUUUCUUUACAGGCCUGUGGCCCCACCUGGCUGAACUUCUAGAGGGUAGGACCCUGAGUUCACUCAUUGCUGUAUCUCUACAGCCUCAUAGAGCACCUGGCACUUUAAAUGCAGAUUGGAGGAAUGGGCCUCCAGUUUGAAAAAUAAUGACCUUUGCCUCUCCCAUGGCAGAAAUGCAUUUGCGAAGAACUGGUAUUUUAAUUUUGAGAAAAUAAGUUGGGAAACUUGGUGUUUAAGAGAAGGGGAAACACAACAUUGUAAGACAACUAUACUCCAAUACAUUUUUUUUUUUAAGAGAGUGAGAGGAGGGGAGCGGGGUGUGACCUCUGCCUACUGUCAUUUUUUAAAUGACCCUGCAUUUGUGAAAUACAGAUGGAAAGAAUAAGUUUUUAUACUCCUUAGCUUUGGCCAUAGCUGAGACAUCUAAGAAUUCUAGAACAAGAGAAUGGCUAAACUGAUCCGUUUUUCUUUUCUUCCUGACCUCAAAGGUCCCCAGGGCUCUUACAGUCGGGGAUGCUUGCCACCAACUCAGAAUGAAACAGAGUCGAAGGCUUUUCAAAGGAGAGCAAGCAACCACCACCCCAAAGACCCUUUGCAUAGAGUUGUAAACCGUAGCGUUGCAAACUGAAACUCCAGAGGCAAACCCUACACGGUUACCUUUUCUCGACAAGGUUGCUCGGCCUUGUCAAUCAUUUUCUGCUUUCUCUCCCUCCCAGAUGCGCGCACACAUAUACACGAGUUGCCGUGGACCGCUGCCUUGACUGUGAGCCUCUCUCCUACCUGAAGUGGAGCACCUCAGGAAGCAGCGAGGUUGGCGUCUCAUUCAUAAUACAUGAACUCUGGGGGAGGAGGGAGGCAGGGACAAGAGCCUUUCAUCUCUGCUAUUUAAAAAUCCCAGCCUUGCAGCUGAAAGGGAAAAUGACCUGGGAGUGAACGCAACUGGGAUGAAGAAUCCACGAUAACGGGACCAGAGCGCGCGUCAGCGGCCAGCCCGCUGGCUAUUUAUACCGCGCAGAUUAUGCAA
rnacentral:lncRNA from 1 species